CUCCUUCCAGCACUUCUCUAGGAAGAUUGUGGGCAGACUUCUCUCCAAUAAGGGAGAUUUUUAUGACACCAACCUACUGACGGUGGCGAGGCAGUUCUUCCAGACGAAAAAAAAAAAGAGCUGGUCUCCCUCCAGAAGAUGAUCUUGAGCCUGCAAUGACUCUCCUGCCUCUGUUCUGGGCAUGUACAACCUCACUCUGGUCAAAAAAGACCGGAUACAUCGACCAUUGCACCCAUCCAAGAAAGGUUUAGUCCACCAAGAACAUUUCCUGUUUUAAUUUCAUUUGCUGCAUCUUGCUUUAGCUAAAAGCAAGAUGGGGUAGCAUUGUGGUCCUGGAUAUAAAGAUACAAAUGAAAAUCUUUCAUACCUCGCUAG
rnacentral:lncRNA from 1 species